GACGAACGCUGGCGGCGUGCUUAACACAUGCAAGUCGAACGGAAAGGCCCUGCUUUUGUGGGGUGCUCGAGUGGCGAACGGGUGAGUAACACGUGAGUAACCUGCCCUUGACUUUGGGAUAACUUCAGGAAACUGGGGCUAAUACCGGAUAGGAGCUCCUGCUGCAUGGUGGGGGUUGGAAAGUUUCGGCGGUUGGGGAUGGACUCGCGGCUUAUCAGCUUGUUGGUGGGGUAGUGGCUUACCAGGGCUUUGUCGGGUAGCCGGCCUGAGAGGGUGACCGGCCACAUUGGGACUGAGAUACGGCCCAGACUCCUACGGGAGGCAGCAGUGGGGAAUAUUGCACAAUGGGCGGAAGCCUGAUGCAGCAACGCCGCGUGCGGGAUGACGGCCUUCGGGUUGUAAACCGCUUUCGCCUGUGACGAAGCGUGAGUGACGGUAAUGGGUAAAGAAGCACCGGCUAACUACGUG
rnacentral:rRNA from 1 species